rnacentral:rRNA from 1 species
UACGUAGGGUGCAAGCGUUGUCCGGAAUUAUUGGGCGUAAAGAGCGUGUAGGCGGCUCGAUAAGUCCGCUGUGAAAGUCCAGAACUCAACCCUGGAAUGCCAAUGGAUACUGUCGGACUAGAGUCCGGAAGGGGCGAGUGGAAUUCCUGGUGUAGCGGUGAAAUGCGCAGAUAUCAGGAGGAAUACCAAUGGCGAAGGCAGCUCGCUGGGACGUGACUGACGCUGAGACGCGAAAGCGUAGGGAGCAAACAGG